GGGGUUGUAGCUUAAUGAUACAGCACUUGCCUAGCAUGUGUGAAGCACUGGGUUCAAUUCCCAGCACCA
rfam:Ictidomys tridecemlineatus contig039984, whole genome shotgun sequence.